rnacentral:RNase_P_RNA from 1 species
UUAGGCAAACGCUGCACUUAGUGUAGAGGAAAGUCCAAGCUCACAAAGUCUGUGAUGACUUUAGUGUUCGUGCUAGGGGAAAAAAUAACCCUAGGUAGCUUAUGCUAACGGCUUCGAAAUGGUCCCACGUGGAUCAAAUUAGAUGUAAAAGUGCCAAAGUGACGAUGCCACUAAGCAAUUAGUGGAGUGGAACGUGGUAAACCCCGCGAGUGAGAAACCCAAAUUUUGGUAGGGGAGUCUUCAAGUCAGAAACGAAUGACAAGAAGGACCUAGUAAUAGGUAGAUAAAUGUUUGCCCAUCUUUAUAGAUGACAGAACGUGGCUUAUUA